rnacentral:rRNA from 1 species
AAUAGAUACCCGGGUAGUCCACGCCGUAACGAUGAGUGCUAAGUGUUAGAGGGUUUCCGACCUUUAGGUGCUGCAGCUAACGCAUUAAGCACUCCGCCUGGGGAGUACGGUCGCAAGACUAGAAACUCGAAAGGAAUUGAACGGGGGGCCCGCAACAAGCGGGUGGAGCAUGUGGUUUAAUUCGAAGCAACGCGAAGAACCUUACCAGGUCUUGACAUCCUCUGACAACUCUAGAGAUAGAGCGUUCCCGUUCGGGGACAGAGUGACAGGUGGUGCAGUGGUUGUCGUCAGCUCGUGUCGUGAGAUGUUGGGUUAAGUCCGCAACGAGCGCCAACCUUGAUCUU